GCUCAAAUUUGAAAUCUGGCUUCGGCCCGAGUUGUAAUUUGUAGAGGAUGCUUUUGGUGAGGUGCCUUCUGAGUUCCCUGGAACGGGACGCCAGAGAGGGUGAGAGCCCCGUAUAGUCGGCCACCGAUCCUCUGUAAAGCUCCUUCGACGAGUCGAGUAGUUUGGGAAUGCUGCUCAAAAUGGGAGGUAUAUCUCUUCUAAAGCUAAAUAUUGGCCAGAGACCGAUAGCGCACAAGUAGAGUGAUCGAAAGAUGAAAAGCACUUUGAAAAGAGGGUUAAAUAGUACGUGAAAUUGUUGAAAGGGAAGCGCUUGUGACCAGACUUGUGCCGGGCUGAUCAUCCAGUGUUCUCACUGGUGCACUCAGCCCGGCUCAGGCCAGCGUCGGUUCUCGCAGGUGGACAAAAGCUCCGGGAACGUAGCUCCUUCGGGAGUGUUAUAGCCCGUUGCUCAAUAC
rnacentral:rRNA from 1 species